CUUCACCUUGUUCUAAAAGAGGGAAGUUUGCACCAUUCAGCAGAGAGAAGCUCGUAAAGGGAACAUGCUGGUCAAACUGCUGUCUUUGUCUCUUCUUUUACACUCAGGUCUGAGUGUCGUCGUUCUUCAGUCUGGAGAUCAAACAUCUCACCCGGGAGACAAAGUCACGCUGGACUGCCGGCUGGGCUCAGGGUCCAGCAUGAGCAGCUACACCAUGCUGUGGUACCGACAGAGCCACCAAGGAGCCCAAAUAGAGUUCCUUACAAAGGAGUAUGAUGAAACCACGGGCCGCUUUGAGCCACACUUCAAUACAGACAAAACCAGCUUCUCUCUUCAAAUCACCGAGCUGCUUCUCAACGACAGCAGCACCUACUACUGCGCUGCCAGGCACAGUGACACACACAGUCCAGGAAGUCAUACAAAUAAAGCCACAGAUGAUGCACAGGAAGGAACUCAAACAGUCCAAAAACAUGCUUUUUGUUUUUGAAACAUGGUGACUCUGUAGUCUGUAGGGGUGGAUAUGAUUGUGUGCAAAAACAAUGCAUUUUCAUUUAAGACAUUGCUCUGUACACACUACAUAUAUGAACAACGAUGUGCAUAUUAUGAAAACAAUCGCGACUGAAGGUGAUCAUGGUGUGUAACAGGGAAGCUACAGUUUGUGUUCAAUAACUGUGAAACAUCAAUACUUGUGAUCAAACUUACCCACUUCAAUAACUGUCAGCCAGAUUACAUUUAUGUUUAUUUUUGUUUGCUUCACAUUCUUCUGUAGUUGCAGCUCAGUGUCCACUAGGAGUCUGCUGCUGUGCAGAGAAUGAUAUGGCAUGUUUUGAUUCCACGUCACAUUUUUUUAAGAAUAUACAAUUUACAAUUUCACUUAGCAGACGCUUUUGAAUAUAGUUUGCUACAAUUCAAACAGGCGUAUGAAGUAUGUUUCUGUGUGUAAUUUCAAGUUUGUGUUCCAUGCGUCCCCUUUUAACUUUGAGCACCUGCCCCUCCAAAGGUCUAUGCACAGCCCUGCAGCACAGUGAAACACAAAUUAUUCAAGAAGCAAACAGAAAAAAAACUCCUGAUUUCAGAAAACACUCGUGAACUAUCUGAUAACAGAAGCAACAACAUUCAUCAUUCCUCCAUCUUCUACAACAGGAGUGUAGAAGAGAGUAAAUUAUAUUUUACAUUUAUUUAAUAUACAGAAUCCAAAUUUAAUAAAUCUCUAUGGCUGGCCAAUCUGUCAAUCUGUGAGGGCCUUUGCACAUGCAGGGUCCAUCCGUAGCUCCGCCCCUGAACAGAAGCCAUAGUCUUCAUCAUCCCUCCAUUUCAGAGGCCACAUUCAGCACAAUUCUUCCAGAGCAGGUCGGACCGGUAAAAGAGACACAACAAUCUUGACAUUUAAACUUUAAAGUUUUUUCUUUACUGUGGUGCAGAGAAUAUGUUUUGUUGUCUCCUCAAGAAAAUUACUACAUGAUCAACAUAACGCAACUUUUAAU